UACUAAUGCAACUGCGAAUAGCUGUUUAAUACAGUCGUAAUUGUAUUGACUUAGCAUAGUUAUAGAGAUAUAGUUUAGUUUUGGAUAACUAAGGGAAAGUUUGGCUAAUACGUUUUUAAAAUGUUAUUAAUACACAUUUAUGCAUAUAAUAAUAUUAAUUGCAACAUGAUAGAUAUUAUAUAAAUAUUUUAUUCAUUUAUUUGAAUAUAAUAUAGAGCAGACUUUAUAUUUAUUUUAAUAUAAAGCAUGUCAAACAAACAUCUAUAGCAUCAAGUCACAAUGUUGGCAUGUGUAUUAUUGAACCUUCAAAGCAUUUACGCAUUCGGAGGAGUAGUUUCUGAUCCCGUCGAAGGUGCCUGAGAGACGGCACUUAGUUCUAAGGAACGCAGCAGGCGCGUAAAUUGCCCAAUGACAAAACAUGUAUAUAUUGAGGCAGUGACAAGCUGUAAAGAUUUAAUAUAUUAAUUAAGAUAACAUUUGGAAUUGUCCCUUAAUAAUAUUUAUAUUAUUUUGGUUGAUAAUAUACCAAUGUUAUAAAAUAUUAAAUUUGAAUGCGGUGAAUAUAAUAAUUUCAAGUAACAUGUAUAAAAUAUUAAUAUUUUAUAUGUUAUCUGAAUUUUCAAGUGGAGGGCAAGUCUGGUGCCAGCAGCCGCGGUAAUACCAGCUCCACUAGCUUAUACAAUCAUUGUUGCGGUUAAGAGGCUCGUAGUUGGAUUGAAAAUAAAAUAUAUAAUAAUAUCAAUACUGUGAACAAACCAGAGUGUAUAAAACAUGUAAUAUUAAUUAUUAGCAAUGAAUGUUUUAUCAUGGGAUAUUGCUUAUAUAUUUCGAUGGAGAUAGUUGGAGUUAAGAGUACUGAUAGGCGAGCGGUGAAAUGCAUUGACCCUAUUAAGACUAACAAAAGCGAAAGCACUUAACUAGAUUAUUCUCUUUGUACUAUUACAAUGAAGAGCGAAGGUUGGGGGAACAAAGAGGAUCAGAUACCCUCGUAGUCCUAUUUUUACAUCAAACUAUGGGAUUUCAAUUGAAUAUAUAUAAUAUUCAUUCUCAACUAAUAAUUAAUAUGAUUGAGUUAUAUUAUUACUCUCAUAUAAAUAAAUGUUGUUUUUGUUAAUAAAACAUGUAUUGAUUAUAUGUACUUUGCGCUCAUAUAAUUAUAUAGGUGAGAUGUAAGCAUUAUUGAUGAUUAAUAUACUACAUAUAUAAUAUGUAAGUAUUAUUAUAAUUCAAAUAUAAAAAUGUAAUGUGAUGCACGUUUUAGGUACGAGCUUACUAUAGAAAUAUUUAAAAUAAUACCCUCCUGGGGUAGUAUGCACGCAAGUGUGAAACUUGAAGGNNNNNNNNNAAGGGCACCACAAGAACGCGUGGAGCAUGUGGCUUAAUUUGACUCAACGCGGGAAAUCUUACCAGGUCCAGACAUAUUGAGGAUUGACUGGCGAUAGUUUAUUAUUCUUUAGUUAAUAAUAAGCAUAAAAAUGAUAGUCCUUUCAUGAUUAUAUGAUAGGUGGUGCAUGGCCGUUCUUAGUUCGUGGAGUGAUUUGUCUGCUUAAUUGCGUUUCAGUAAAUAAAAUAUAUAAUAUACAUUAAUAUUUAGUUCUGCCUUAAUUUAUAUUUCGGAUUUAAAGUGAACAUAUUAUUGUUAUUAAUAUAUAAUAAAUGAAUGCAACGAACGUGACCGUAACCUUUUAUUGCUAUAAAUAAUAUUUAAUUAUAUAUAUAGCAUAAAAUUAAAGGAACCGCUGUCAUUAUUAUAUGUGUUAAAAUAGAGUAAGAAUACGGCAAUAACAGGUCUGUGAUGCCCUCAGAUGUUCUGGGCUGCACACGUGCUACAAUAAUUACAUUAAUAAGUAUAUAAAAUAAUAUUUUAAUAUAUUAAUAAACCUAUUUCGAAAGUAAAUGGGUAAUCAUUUAAAAAUCGUAACAUUUUAAAAAUAUAUAAAUUAUUUUAUUGUGGGGAUAGUGUAUUGUUAAUUAUUACACUUGGCCUUAACUAGGAAUGCCUUGUACUCUUCUUUGGUUUAACAUACCAAGAGGAAUACGUCCCUGCCCUUUGUACACACCGCCCGUCGCUCUUACCGAUGAAUUAUAUUAUAAAUCUAAGGGAAUUAUAUAUUUUAUUAUUUAUGACAAACUUAUAUACAUAAUAUGAUUUAAAGGAAAGAGAAGUCGUAACAAGGCAUCAGUAGGUGAACCU
rnacentral:rRNA from 1 species